GGGGAUGCAGGGUUUCGAUGGAAUUACGAGCAAUACAUGCAGGUUGGGAGGUUGGUCUUCCAUUAAUCAACCAAAAAGUACAAGUGCAAACUUAGUACAAAAAGCUAAAAGCGUAUUGGCUCGCGCCUUUGCGCCGCAGCUUGCAAUGGCUGUCGCUUAAUAGCAAUAGCCCAUCCGCUCGGUUGAUUCUCGAUAAGCCGAAUCCGGGUGUCAUAUUUCGAGAUAGGUAGCAAGGGUUUGUUCAGCCCAAGCCACUAAAACCAUAAUUGGACUUUGCAAUCGGUUAUUUCGCCUGCUUUUUAACCGCUUGCGAGAAACCAAGCGGGCUAAGCAUGUAGAUUGUAUUGUGAAUAUUUUUCAGACGCGGGUUCAACUCCCGCCAUCUCCACCA
rnacentral:tmRNA from 1 species